UACGUAGGGUGCGAGCGUUAAUCGGAAUUACUGGGCGUAAAGCGUGCGCAGGCGGUUCGUUGUGUCGGCGGUGAAAGCCCCGGGCUUAACCUGGGAAUGGCCGUUGAAACUGGCGAACUGGAGUGUGGCAGAGGGGGGUGGAAUUCCGGCGUGGUAGCAGUGAAAUGCGUAGAGAUGCGGAGGAACACCGAUGGCGAAGGCAGCCCCCUGGGAUAACACUGGACGCCUCAUGCACGAAAGCGUGGGGAGCAAA
rnacentral:rRNA from 1 species